rnacentral:rRNA from 1 species
CAGUAGCCGCGGUAAUACGUAGGGUGCGAGCGUUAAUCGGAAUUACUGGGCGUAAAGCGUGCGCAGGCGGUUGUGCAAGACAGAUGUGAAAUCCCCGAGCUUAACUUGGGAACUGCAUUUGUGACUGCACGGCUAGAGUGUGUCAGAGGGGGGUAGAAUUCCACGUGUAGCAGUGAAAUGCGUAGAUAUGUGGAGGAAUACCGAUGGCGAAGGCAGCCCCCUGGGAUAACAUUGACGCUCAUGCACGAAAGCGUGGGGAGCAAACAGGAUUAGAUACCCCUGUAGUCCCUGUCUCUUAUAC